GCCCGGCUAGCUCAGUCGGUACAGCACGAGACUCUUUAUCUCGGGGUCGUGGGUACAAGCCCACGUUGGGCG
rnacentral:tRNA from 1 species